UGCCAGCAGCCGCGGUAAUACGGAAGGUGCAAGCGUUAAUCGGAAUUACUGGGUGUAAAGCGCGCGUAGGUGGUUUGUUAAGUUGGAUGUGAAAGCCCUGGGCUCAACCUAGGAACUGCAUCCAAAACUAACUCACUAGAGUGCGACAGAGGGAGGUAGAAUUCAUAGUGUAGCGGUGGAAUGCGUAGAUAUUAUGAAGAAUACCAGUGGCGAAGGCGGCUUUCUGGACAGUGACUGACGCUGAGGCGCGAAAGCGUGGGUAGCAAACAGGAUUAGAUA
rnacentral:rRNA from 1 species